rnacentral:rRNA from 1 species
GUCUACGGCCAUACCACCCUGAACGUGACUGAUCUCAUCUGAUCUCAGAAGCUAAGCAGGGUCGGGCCUGGAUAAUACUUGGAGGGGAGACA